rnacentral:rRNA from 1 species
UGGGGAAUAUUGGACAAUGGGCGAAAGCCUGAUCCAGCCAUGCCGCGUGUGUGAAGAAGGUCUUCGGAUUGUAAAGCACUUUAAGUUGGGAGGAAGGGCAUUAACCUAAUACGUUAGUGUUUUGACGUUACCGACAGAAUAAGCACCGGCUAACUCUGUGCCAGCAGCCGCGGUAAUACAGAGGGUGCAAGCGUUAAUCGGAAUUACUGGGCGUAAAGCGCGCGUAGGUGGUUUGUUAAGUUGGAUGUGAAAUCCCCGGGCUCAACCUGGGAACUGCAUUCAAAACUGACUGACUAGAGUAUGGUAGAGGGUGGUGGAACUUCCUGUGUAGCGGUGAAAUGCGUAGAUAUAGGAAGGAACACCAGUGGCGAAGGCGACCACCUGGACUAAUACUGACACUGAGGUGCGAAAGCGUGGGGAGCAAACA